rnacentral:lncRNA from 1 species
UUAACAUUAAAAUUUUCAGGAGUAAAAGUUAAAUAUGAGAUAUUUAGAAGGACCAAAAACAUAUUUAACUCUAAUUAUUACUUUCUUUUUAUAAUUAGUUUUGAUUUCAAAUUUUUUUUAAAACAAUUUAUUUUCAGGAUUUUUUUAUAAAAAUAUUUAUAUAUUUUUUUAAAAAUAUAAAUUUUCUAUUUUUUUAUUUUCAAGAAAUUUUGUUUUCA